AUCGAGCGCCUGGUGGUGUGACUGGUUAGAGGACAGGCUAAAACGCUCAUCAAAUUGAGCGGAAAUACCCCACUGGGGUUUUUUCGGUGGAGCCAAUUCCCAUCAUCGAGGUCCGGGAGUAUCGUGAUCGAGGCAGCAGUGCGACAAGGCGACGGGCGGAUUGCCGAUACAUCGAGUGUGCUUCACUCGGCCGGCAGGGCCAAGUCGGAGGAAAUUCGUUCGGGAACCAGCAGCCCUUCGGUGGAUCACUCGGAGGGACCCCAUCCAGUUACUUGGUCGCACUGGACGGCCAGAGGGGUCUCCAGCAGAGUGAUUAGGAUGCAUGCGUGGGACGGCAGUGAAAUGCGACAGGCGAACAGUCGCGGCAGCGAGAGCUCCGCCGAGGAAAUAGUGUAGGGGGACGCCCCGAACACAAAAAGGUACACAGAGUACGAAGAAGAAACCGUGAGUAAGGAAGACAAAUGUUAGUUUGUAAGAAAAUGAAGAUAUAGAGAAAGGAGAAGAGAGAGAUGCUUAGGAGCUAGGAAGGAAAGUGGGAUCAAUCCCCAAAUAUAUGUAUUAAAUUGAA